UUUCAACAACGGAUCUCUUGGCUCUGGCAUCGAUGAAGAACGCAGCGAAAUGCGAUAAGUAAUGUGAAUUGCAGAAUUCAGUGAAUCAUCGAAUCUUUGAACGCACAUUGCGCCCGCCAGUAUUCUGGCGGGCAUGCCUGUUCGAGCGUCAUU
rnacentral:rRNA from 1 species